rnacentral:rRNA from 1 species
AGCCGCCGCGGGAAUACGAAGGGUGCAAGCGUUAAUCGGAAUUACUGGGCGUAAAGCGUGCGUAGGCGGUUUGUUAAGUCUGUUGUGAAAUCCCCGGGCUCAACCUGGGAAUGGCAGUGGAUACUGGCAAGCUAGAGUGCGUCAGAGGAUGGUGGAAUUCCCGGUGUAGCGGUGAAAUGCGUAGAGAUCGGGAGGAACAUCAGUGGCGAAGGCGGCCAUCUGGGACAACACUGACGCUGAGGCACGAAAGCGUGGGGAGCGAACAGGAUUAGAUACCCGCGUAGUCCCUGUCUCUUAUACA